AGGAUCUUAGUGCUGAAAAGGACUCUGGGCAACAUCUAGUCCUAUAGAGUUCACACCACUUUAACACAGCACCCUUCACUCAAAUGGCAUCUUAUAUGGAAAUCAUCACUGAAAGUAGGUCAAAACACAACUGCUUUGGUGAAAUUGAGAGUGAGGAAUCUGAGCCUUCCUCCAAACCCCCUCGUUCUUAGGGGCUGCCCCUAGGCCUGCUUGACAGCCCUCACAAAGAGAAAGACUGAUUGGGGACCAACAACAAGAACUUCACUCAAAAGAAAUGAGCACAAUCUUGAGGUUAGAAGAUCUGGCUUCAAAUCUCUGAUCGGCUAUAUACUGAUUCUGUGACCUUGGGGCUUGCAAAAUUCCCAAAUUGUGAUAGGAGUUUAAAAAUAGUGUUUGAUCAAGGUUACAAAAUGAACCACUAUCAAACAUAGUUUUAAGAAGAUAAAGCAUUUACAUUGCCCUGUGAAUUGAUAUUUGGCAACAAUUUUGAGAGAAGAUUAGAAAGAGGAGAGAGUUGGAUUUGAGGAGGGUCAAUCUGAGAGAAGAAGAAGGUGUGCAAAAAAAGAGCACUAAUGAAGAAAGUGACCUCCCCAAACCACUGGAGUCAAAGAAGUCUUCUGUGAGGAAGAGAUCCAAGAAGUUCAGUGAACCUCAAGCAAGAGGAAUAUAAAGAAAAACAUAGCUAAUCACUUCAAAAUCAAAGGGAUGCCAUUCACCCAGUAACAACAGACUGAAGCACUGGAAGAAACCUUGUUCCUGGGCCAUGACGGCCUUCUCAUUUCUCAUCAGUCAUUUAUCCCUUGAUUCAGAUUUUCUUGUCUAGCCCUGAUUAGCAUACCAUCAUCUCCAGACAAAGAACAAAACCUAUGUAAUUGGCUCUGCUUCUAAAUGAAAGCACACUAUGUUAAGAACAUUGUUUCUAUAUUUACAAAUCCAAGACAUGAUUGAAAGCGUCACGCUCUCAGUGUAGGAACAAUAUGCCCAUAAUCAAACAUCCAGAGCAAAUUGUAUGAUUAUUUGUAUUAUCCAGGAUUUCAAGGCUGUUUCAGGGCAGAGAAGCCAAGUAGAAAUAUGUCAACUUUUUCAGCAGCCCCUUUUCUCCUGCAUACACAAAUUAAACUAUUUUUGUGCAUUAUUUUGUCUAAAAUUUUGACACAAAUUCCCCUAAACAUUCUAAACUUAUGGAUCAUAAAUAAAUGUUACUGAGUUG